rnacentral:rRNA from 1 species
UACGGAGGGAGCUAGCGUUGUUCGGAAUUACUGGGCGUAAAGCGCGCGUAGGCGGCUUUGUAAGUUAGAGGUGAAAGCCCGGAGCUCAACUCCGGAACUGCCUUUAAAACUGCAUCGCUUAAUCCAGGAGAGGUGAGUGGAAUUCCGAGUGUAGAGGUGAAAUUCGUAGAUAUUCGGAAGAACACCAGUGGCGAAGGCGGCUCACUGGACUGGUAUUGACGCUGAGGUGCGAAAGCGUGGGGAGCAAACAGG